rnacentral:lncRNA from 9 species
GUUUUACAAAGGAAAAGUAUUUGAUGGUGUCUGAGGAAUACAGAGCACUGGGAUGAAAAUGAGGCUGCAAAGGAAAUGGAAUGAAAAACAGGCUUGUUUGGGUCACCCAGAAGCAAAAACCUAUCACACGCAGUCAUACAAAUAUACCCAAAACCCAGCAGCCACAUCAUACUGAUUCCCGACAACAAAACAAAAUGAAGAUGGAACUUCAGGGGAAUAAGACAAAGGGAAGGAGUGGAAAUGAAGCUGCCAAGGAAAACAGAACUGAUUUUGCAAAGUAUGAUAAUCUAUGAGAUGGACCUCUAAGAAGCUGAAGCAACUCUAUCUCUCAAUUUGGAAAAAUGCCCACUUCCAAGUUCUGGAGCAGAGUCAAGGAGCUAACACCUGGAAAGUGAUUAAAAUUGUGCCUUAUUAUGUUUUUGAAGAAUCUUGCUGACAUUUUUUCUUCAUUCAUUCUCUCUCUCAAAUACAUAUACACACAUACAUAUCUACACAUAUAUGAUAUGUAUAUAUGUAUAAUAUACCUACAUACCUAAAGAAUAUGUAUAGAUAUAUAUGUGCAUAUACAAACAUAUACAAGCAUACCUCAUUUAAUUGCACUUUGCUUUGGUGAGCUUUCCAGAUAUUGCAUAGCUUUACAAAUUGAAAAUCUGUGGCAACUCUGCACUGAGAAAGUCUAUUAGUGCCAUUAUUCUAAGAGUAUUAGCUCAAUUCAUAUCUCUGUGUCACAUGUUUGGCAAUUCUCACAAUAUUUCACACUUAUUACUAUACUUGGUAUGGUGAUGUGUGAUCACCAUAAGGUCAGAUAACAGCAUUUUUUAGUAAUAAAGUAUUUUUUGAUUAAGUACAUAUUUCUUUUAGACAUAAUGUUACUGCACCCUUAAGAGACCACAGUAUAAACAUGACUUUUACCUGCAUGGGAGAAUGAAAAAAUUGGUGUUAUUUGCUUUGUCACAAUAUUUAUUUACUGGAAAUGAACCCAUAACACCUCUAAGGUCUGCCUAUACAUGCUUUUAUAACAUAUGUGUGUAUACCUGUAUACAUAUACAUAUAUGUAUGUAUAUACAGAGAUACUGUUUGCUUUAUAUGGUAUAACAAAAUUUAUACUUUUUUUUAAUAAAAAUUUCUAUUUUUUCCAUUAUAACUGAUUUACAGUGUUCUGUUUACUUCUGUUCUUUUAGUAAGAGUAAUUCAGUAUUGAGGCUGGUGAUUUAAAAAUUCUAAAUUAUAACUUUAUAAAGAUAUUUCUGAAAUGAUUCAAGUAUACACUUAUGCCCUCCUUACAUAUAAUAUUGCAUUUAUAUUCAGUAAUGAUCCUUUGUCCAUAUCUAAAAUGUUUUUAAAUGAUACUUUCCCUGUCACGGGAGAUGUAAAUUUAUACUUACAAGAUAAUGAGAUAGGUUUAAAAAUCUGCUUCUCAAACAUAAUGGUGUGCUGGCAAAUUUACCUACAG